UGCCAGCCGCCGCGGUAAUACGAAGGGACCUAGCGUAGUUCGGAUUUAUUGGGCGUAAAGGGCGCGUAGGUGGCGAUGAUAGUCAGAUGUGAAAUUCCGGGACUCAAUCCCGGAGCUGCAUUUGAAACUUCAUUGCUUGAGGACAGGCGGAGAAAGCGGAAUUCCACGUGUAGCGGUGAAAUGCGUAGAUACGUGGAAGAACACCGGUGGCGAAGGCGGCUUUCUAGCUUGUUCCUGACACUGAGGCGCGAAAGCGUGGGGAGCGAACAGGAUUAGAUA
rnacentral:rRNA from 1 species